UCCGUAGGUGAACCUGCGGAGGGAUCAUUACAAGUGACCCCGGUCUAACCACCGGGAUGUUCAUAACCCUUUGUUGUCCGACUCUGUUGCCUCCGGGGCGACCCUGCCUUCGGGCGGGGGCUCCGGGUGGACACUUCAAACUCUUGCGUAACUUUGCAGUCUGAGUAAACUUAAUUAAUAAAUUAAAACUUUUAACAACGGAUCUCUUGGUUCUGGCAUCGAUGAAGAACGCAGCGAAAUGCGAUAAGUAAUGUGAAUUGCAGAAUUCAGUGAAUCAUCGAAUCUUUGAACGCACAUUGCGCCCCCUGGUAUUCCGGGGGGCAUGCCUGUUCGAGCGUCAUUUCACCACUCAAGCCUCGCUUGGUAUUGGGCAUCGCGGUCCGCCGCGUGCCUCAAAUCGACCGGCUGGGUCUUCUGUCCCCUAAGCGUUGUGGAAACUAUUCGCUAAAGGGUGUUCGGGAGGCUACGCCGUAAAACAACCCCAUUUCUAAGGUUGACCUCGGAUCAGGUAGGGAUACCCGCUGAACUUAAGCAUAUCAAUAAGCGGAGGAAAAGAAACCAACAGGGAUUGCCCUAGUAACG
rnacentral:rRNA from 1 species